AGGGAUGAGCGUCCUGCCCCGCACCAGCACCCCAUCGAUAUCGAAGAGGAGCCCGAAGGAGCCAGGGCCCUGAGGAUGGACCUGGGGGUCGGGGAGGGGGGGCAGAGAGCAGAGAAGAAGCAAAGCUGUUAAAAGUUAUUGAUUGGCCGUGAUGUAUGGCAUCUUGGUUGCGUAUAGUAUAGAUAGAGGGAGCUGGCUGGGAUUUACUCUCAGGCUGUAAGAAUCACACAGCAGAGAUUUAAUGGAGGAGAUAAAUCACUAAUGAGUGAAGUGGGAAAAUGAGAUCAUAAUAACUGUAGGUCAGAGUGUGUGAUGUAAUCAACUCUUUGUGUGUGUGUGUACUUGUACAGAUAGAUGUCUUUGUGAGGACCCUUUGGACCCUAGAACCUACAGAGUGAGGACAUCUUGGGAAAGUGGGGACACUUUGGCCAGUGCUCACUUUCUGACUCACUUUCAAUGGGCUGGUUUGGAACUUAAGACUUGGUUAGGGUUAGAACCAGGUCAGGUCUGAGUGAAGCCUCCACUUACAUGGCUGUAGGGUCUCGAGGUGGAGGACGCGCCGGGGACAUGUCGGGCUGCUCCCUCGCAGCUGAACCUCAGCAGCUUCAGGACUCUGCUCAUAGAGCCGAGUUUCUGCAUCGCUCCAGGCAGCGGUGAGUUUAACAACGAGACACGAGGCUCCACUAAAGCUAAAGUGACCGUCAGUGAACGUGUGUCAUGACGCCACAGACAGAGUCGGUGCUGAACUCUUCUUCUUCUUCUACUUCUUCUUCUUCCUCGCGGUGUCAGUGGAGCUGUCUCCCUUCACAACAGCAGCGCUGCUCAAUGGAGGCGCAUGCGCAGAGGAGCCGGGACCGCAAAACUUCCUGCACUACCACGUCACGAAAUACCCCCCCGGAAGUUUCUUUUAUUUGUGUAUUGUUAUUCUUGUACGCAGAUGUUUGUUGUUAUCUGUUUGAUUUAUGAAUAGUAAAACAAUAUACAGUGUGUUUUCUUUGUAUGCUUAUAUUCGACUUGUUCUUUUUUUAGAUGUUACAUUUAUUUGUCUAUAUAUUUUCUUUAAUUUUAAAGGAAUUAUAUAUGUAUUCUUUAAAUAUAUAUAUAUAAACAUUUUUUGUAAAUGCUUCUAAAUAUUAAAAAUUCGUAAUAUACACUU